rnacentral:rRNA from 1 species
AGAGUUUGAUCAUGGCUCAGGAUGAACGCUAGCUACAGGCUUAACACAUGCAAGUCGAGGGGCAGCAUGUUGGUUGCUUGCAACCAACGAUGGCGACCGGCGCACGGGUGAGUAACGCGUAUCCAACCUACCCUUGUCCAUCGGAUAACCCGUCGAAAGGCGGCCUAACACGAUAUGCGGUUCACAGCAGGCAUCUAACGUGAACGAAAUGUAAAGGAGAAGGAUGGGGAUGCGUCUGAUUAGCUUGGUUGGCGGGUAACGGCCACCAAGGCGACGAUCAGUAGGGUCUGAGAGGAAGGUCCCCANAUUGGAACUGAGACACGGUCCAAACUCCUACGGAGGCA